UGGGGAAUAUUGGACAAUGGGCGCAAGCCUGAUCCAGCCAUGCCGCGUGAGUGACGAAGGUCUUCGGAUUGUAAAGCUCUUUUGGCGGGGACGAUAAUGACGGUACCCGCAGAAUAAGCCCCGGCUAACUUCGUGCCAGCAGCCGCGGUAAUACGAAGGGGGCUAGCGUUGUUCGGAAUUACUGGGCGUAAAGCGCACGUAGGCGGACUCUUAAGUCAGGGGUGAAAUCCCGGGGCUCAACCUCGGAACUGCCUUUGAUACUGUGAGUCUCGAGACCGGAAGAGGUGAGUGGAAUUCCUAGUGUAGAGGUGAAAUUCGUAGAUAUUAGGAAGAACACCAGUGGCGAAGGCGGCUCACUGGUCCGGUUCUGACGCUGAGGUGCGAAAGCGUGGGGAGCAAA
rnacentral:rRNA from 1 species